GUCAAGAUCCUUUUGAAGCAGCUGUUGGUUUGGGUCUGGAAUGCAGAAGAGAGAAGUUCAAGUGUAGGAGCAGGUGCAGGACGCUGGAUGAGAAUGGAGUGGGACGAGCUGGGUGCUCCUACAUGGGGCCCCUGCACACCGAGAGACACAGUGGUGCAGCGAUGGAGUGACUGCCUUACGCCGUCAGAGACCCGGGUUAAAUCCUGACUACGGGUGCUGUCUGAAUGGAGUUUGCACGUUCUCCCUUUGGCUGCAUGGGUUUUCCAGGUUUCCUCCCACAUUCCAACAACAUGCUGGUUUAUAAGUUAAUUGGCUUCUGUAAAUUGUCCCUAGUCUGUAGGAUAGAACUAGUGUACGGGUGAUCGUUGGUCGGUUCAGAUGGGCCGAAGGGCCUGUUUCCAUGAGGUCUAAACUAAACGGCCACCUUCUGUGCUGUAACAAAAAAAAAUUGAUAGGCUUGAAUGACUUGUUCAUAGGAUAUAGAACAGUACAGCACAGGAACAGGCCCUUCGACCCACAAUGUUUGUGCUGAAGACAAACUUAUUUGCUUGCACAUAAUCCAUAUCUCUCCAUUCCCUGUAUAUUCAUGCAAAGAUCCAAAAGCCACUUAAAUGCCACAAUCGUAUCUGCCUCGGCGUGCAGCCCUAGCAGUGUGUUCCAGGCACCUACCAUACUCUGUAUAUAAAAAAAACUUGCCACGCACAUCUCCUUUAAACAUUGCCCCUCUCACCUUAAAUUAUGUCCUCUGGUCAUUGACAUUUUCACCAUGGGAGAAAAAGGUUUUGACUGUCUACUCAGUCUAUGUCUCUCAUAACAUUAUAUACUUCUAUCAGGUCUCCCCUCAAUCUCAGGCAUCCAGAUAAAACAGUCCAAGACUAUUCAAUCUCUCAGGUUCAAAUUGGGUAAAAUGAUUCAGCAAGAACACUCAUUGAUUUUCAGAGGAUUAAAAGGACCGAUUCACACUUCAAUAACUGACUCUCUUUCAUUGGAUGCCUCUGGUGGUUGGCUGUUUGGUAUGAAUUGCAGCAUGCUCUUGUUCAGUCUAACUUAAAGAAAAACAUUAAAUUAUUUUUGUGGCUGUGGAAGUCUUUUUUUUAACUCAUUAAAGCAAUAUGUUUGACUAUGA